rnacentral:rRNA from 1 species
UACCAGCACCCCGAGUGGUCGGGACGAUUAUUGGGCCUAAAGCAUCCGUAGCCGGCCUUACAAGUCCUCCGUUAAAUCCAGCUGCUUAACAGAUGGGCUGCGGAGGAUACUAUAAGACUAGGAGGCAGGAGAGGCAAGCGGUACUCAGUGGGUAGGGGUAAAAUCCGUUGAUCCAUUGAAGACCACCAGUGGCGAAGGCGGCUUGGCCAGAAUGC